UACGUAGGGUGCGAGCGUUUGUCCGGAUUUAUUGGGCGUAAAGAGCUCGUAGGCGGUUUGUCGCGUCUGCUGUGAAAACUGGGGGCUCAACUCCCAGCCUGCAGUGGGUACGGGCAGACUAGAGUGGCGGUAGGGGAGAUUGGAAUUCCUGGUGUAGCGGUGGAAUGCGCAGAUAUCAGGAGGAACACCGGUGGCGAAGGCGGGUCUCUGGGCCGAUACUGACGCUGAGGAGCGAAAGCGUGGGGAGCGAACAGG
rnacentral:rRNA from 1 species